UCACGGAACCUCCGAUCGAUCAAGAAUCGACCACCAACAUCGCCGAGGUCGGUUUCAGACGAAAUUAGCGCUUCAGUCCUCAACUAUCGACCGUCGACACUUCCGAGCACCACGAUCGUCAACCCUCCACCCAUCAAAGAAUCGACCGUCGACAUUGCUGAGAUGGAAGAAUCGACCAUUUGAAAUUACUGAGAUGGAACAAAAAGGGACCGAUUCCGAAAAAUCCAAGCCCUCGACACCAGGACCACCCUCUCCACCAUGGCUCGAUCUCCCUGAUCUCGCCACAGAGCUUAUCCUACAGCGUCUCCCCCUCCCUGAUUACAUCCGCUUUGCUGACGUCUGUAUAAAAUGGCAAUCCAUCCAAA